CUUGCUAUUUGUAGGUUAGCGGCAAUUAGAAUAUGGAAUAUUAAGAAUGCCUGGGGUUUAGUGUAUUGAUCAAGUGUCAUAAAUAGUAGCCCGCACUCGGGUUGCAGCUUUAUUGCGAGAUGUAAGGUUCCAGAGAUUAUUGUUUCCACCACCCCCCAGUAUUUUGUGAUGAGUGGGCAGGUCCACCAUAUGUGGUACAUCGUGCCCUCCCCUUUUCCACAUCUCCAACAGUGUUUUGAGGUCUGGGGGUAAAUGAUCGCUAGCCUAG